UACAGAGGUCUCAAGCGUUGUUCGGAUUCAUUGGGCGUAAAGGGUGCGUAGGCGGCGCGGUAAGUCGGGUGUGAAAUCUCGGAGCUUAACUCCGAAACUGCAUUCGAUACUGCCAUGCUUGAGGACUGGAGAGGAGACUGGAAUUACGGUGUAGCGGUGAAAUGCGUAGAUAUCGUAAGGAAGACCAGUGGCGAAGGCGGGUCUCUGGACAGUUC
rnacentral:rRNA from 1 species